rnacentral:misc_RNA from 1 species
ACUGAUAUUGGAGACUAUCAGGUAAAACUACGCAACCUGACUCGUUUCCUUGAAGAAGGCAACAAAGUGAAAGUAACUAUUCGCUUUCGUGGCCGAGAGAUGGCACACCAAGAUAUCGGUGUCGACGUUCUUAAUCGUUUGAAAGAAGAUACAGCAGAACUUGCUGUUGUAGAGUCUUUUCCUACGCGAAUUGAAGGUCGUCAAAUGAUCAUGGUGUUAGCCCCUAAGAAGAAGUAAUUAGCGGCUUUGCAAGUAACAAAACCUUUCUUUAUCGUUAGGUUUUGUUCGCCCUAAUUACAUUGUUUAUUAAACUACUACAAUGCGGAGUUAUUCAUCAUGCCUA